UGUAACAUACAUUAAAAAUAAGAGAUUGUACCAACAAAAAGUUAUGUGGAGGACAAAAAUAAUACCCACUAUCACCUGCUGCAAAAUUGGCAUUAAAAAAUCAACAAUUUCAAUGUUCAUUUUGGUUAUGAUUUCAUGCAAAAGAUGAUAAUUUAACAAUCAAAGGCCAGGGACAAGUCUCAAUCAACAGAGCCUUCAAUUUUACAAGGAAAAUGGCUCGCAAUCACUAGAUGCACUAGUAGAGUAACUUAUUGCAGUUGCACUUAUGACCGAAACAGAGCAAAUUGAGUAAGAGAUUUGGAAGGAAAUAUUGACACAACAAUUUGAUGAGUAUUAGAAAGAGAACGAUAUUUAAAGAAUUGUAGUCCUAUUAUCAGAUGGAAACUGUUUGAGAUUUUAUUAUCACGUUAUAUCAUUUCUUCAAUAAAAAUGAAUGACUAAUUAUUAGACCAGGUAAAAGUAUUCAUCACGACAAAAUGUUUAUUGAGGCAAAUGCGUUAAACGAAGAAGCACUUAUGCUUAUUUUAGCGAAUAUGGGUUAAAAGGGGAAUAAAACCCUCUCUGAUAUAAGCUGCAAAGCGAGUUGAUAUGACCAAUUCAGCUUUGAGAAUUGAAUGCAUGCAACAGGAUAGAGCAAAAAAUUGUAUGGAGACUAUAGAGAUU